UACGGAGGGGGCUAGCGUUGUUCGGAAUUACUGGGCGUAAAGCGCGUGUAGGCGGGUCCUUAAGUCGGGGGUGAAAGCCCGGGGCUCAACCUCGGAACUGCCUUCGAUACUGAGGACCUGGAGUCUGGGAGAGGUGAGCGGAAUUCCGAGUGUAGAGGUGAAAUUCGUAGAUAUUCGGUGGAACACCAGAGGCGAAGGCGGCUCACUGGACCAGUACUGACGAUGAGACGCGAAAGAGUGGGGAGCAAACAGG
rnacentral:rRNA from 1 species